CUGUUUAUCAAAAACAUUGCUUUAUGAUCUUAACUAUAUAAAGUAACGCCUGCCCAGUGACAUUGUUCAACGGCCGCGGUAUCCUAACCGUGCAAAGGUAGCAUAAUCACUUGCCUAUUAAUUGUAGGCUGGAAUGAAAGGAUUUACGAAAUAAAGACUGUCUCUAUUACACACCUAAAAAUUAUUUUCUGCUUGAAGAAAUGCAGAUAACUUCGAAGGACAAGAAGACCCUAUAGAGCUUUAUUUAUAAACAAAUAUAUUGUUCUAAAAUUCGGUUGGGGCGACCUAGGGAACACAUAUCACCCUUUAUAUAUAAAGAUCAAUUAAUCUACAAAAUGACCCAAUAAUGAUCAAAAAAUUAAGUUACCUUAGGGAUAACAGGCUAAUCCUAUUAUAGAGUUCAUAUCGAAAAUAGGGGUUGGCACCUCGAUGUUGGCUUAGGGUAUCUAUGUAGCGCAAAAGCUACAUAAGAUGGUUUGUUCAACCAAUAACUCC
rnacentral:rRNA from 1 species